rnacentral:rRNA from 1 species
AGAGUUUGAUCAUGGCUCAGGAUGAACGCUGGCGGUAUGCUUUACACAUGCAAGUCGUACGAGAGUUUUUAACUCAAGUGGCGGACGGGUGAGUAACACGUAAGAAUUUACCUUUAGGAGGGGGGUAACAACUGGAAACGGUUGCUAAUACCCCAUAUGCUUUCGAGUGAAAUGGAUUUUUCCGCCUAGAGAGAAGCUUGCGGCUGAUUAGCUUGUUGGUGAGGUAAUGGCUCACCAAGGCGACGAUCAGUAUCUGGUUUGAGAGGACGAUCAGACACACUGGAACUGAGACACGGUCCAGACUCCUACGGGAGGCAGCAGUGGGGAAUUUUCCGCAAUGGGCGAAAGCCUGACGGAGCAAUACCGCGUGAGGGAUGACGGCCUAUGGGUUGUAAACCUCUUUUUCCAGGGAGGAAUCAAUGACGUGUACCUGAAGAAUAAGCAUCGGCUAACUCCGUGCCAGCAGCCGCGGUAAGACGGAGGAUGCAAGUGUUAUCCGGAAUCACUGGGCGUAAAGCGUCUGUAGGUGGUUUAAUAAGUCAACUGUUAAAUCUCGAGGCCCAACCUCGAAAUCGCAGUCGAAACUAUUAGACUAGAGUAUAGUAGGGGUAAAGGGAAUUUCCAGUGGAGCGGUGAAAUGCGUAGAGAUUGGAAAGAACACCGAUGGCGAAGGCACUUUACUGGGCUAUUACUAACACUCAGAGACGAAAGCUAGGGUAGCAAAUGGGAUUAGAUACCCCAGUAGUCCUAGC